UGCGAAGGUAGCAUAAUCAUUAGCCUUUUGAUUUGAGGCUGGAAUGAAUGGUCUGACGAGAGGCAACCUGUCUCCUUAAUUAACUUGAAUUUAAUCUUUAAGUGAAAAAGCUUAAAUAGCCUUGGAGGACGAUAAGACCCUAUAGAUCUUUACAUCCGGCUUUUUCAUCUAACGGUGGGUAAUCGGGUGGAAGAGAAGGAUGUUUGGUUGGGGCGACGUCGAGAGGAGAAUAAACACUCGAGAAUAUACAUACAUCAAUAAAUGAUCAUUGAUCCUUAGAUGAAAAUAGAGUAAGUUACCUUAGGGAUAACAGCGUAAUUCUUUUUGAGAGCUCAAAUCGACAAAAGAGUUUGCGACCUCGAUGUUGGUUCAGGGACCCUAUUUGGUGCAGCAGCUUAAUCAGGUAGUCUGUUCGACUAUUAAACCCCUACG
rnacentral:rRNA from 1 species